rnacentral:rRNA from 1 species
AUUGAACGCUGGCGGCAUGCUUUACACAUGCAAGUCGAACGGUAACAGGGAGCUUGCUCCGCUGACGAGUGGCGAACGGAUGAGUAAUGCGUCGGAACGUGCCGAGUAGUGGGGGAUAACGCAUCGAAAGGUGUGCUAAUACCGCAUACGUACUGAGGUAGAAAGUGGGGGACCUUCGGGCCUCACGCUAUUCGAGCGGCCGACGUCUGAUUAGCUAGUUGGUGAGGUAAAGGCUCACCAAGGCGACGAUCAGUAGCGGGUCUGAGAGGAUGAUCCGCCACACUGGGACUGGGACACGGCCCAGACUCCUACGGGAGGCAGCAGUGGGGAAUUUUGGACAAUGGGCGCAAGCCUGAUCCAGCCAUGCCGCGUGUCUGAAGAAGGCCUUCGGGUUGUAAAGGACUUUUGUCCGGGAGCAAAUGCCUGGUGUUAAUAGCAUCGGGAGCUGAGAGUACCGGAAGAAUAAGCACCGGCUAACUACGUGCCAGCCGCCGCAGUAACAC